GUCGACGGAGCACCCCUGACUGAGGUUUCGGCCAAAUGAUGGGAAUGCUUAGUGGCGGACUGGUGAGUAACGCGUGAGGAACCUGCCUUCCAGAGGGGGACAACAGUUGGAAACGACUGCUAAUACCGCAUGACGCAUGACCGGGGCAUCCCGGACAUGCCAAAGAUUUUAUCGCUGGAAGAUGGCCUCGCGUCUGAUUAGCUGGUUGGCGGGGUAACGGCCCACCAAGGCGACGAUCAGUAGCCGGACUGAGAGGUUGACCGGCCACAUUGGGACUGAGAUACGGCCCAGACUCCUACGGGAGGCAGCAGUGGGGAAUAUUGGGCAAUGGACGCAAGUCUGACCCAGCAACGCCGCGUGAAGGAAGAAGGCUUUCGGGUUGUAAACUUCUUUUGUCAGGGAACAGUAGAAGAGGGUACCUGACGAAUAAGCCACGGCUAACUACGUGCCAGCAGCCGCGGUAAUACGUAGGUGGCAAGCGUUGUCCGGAUUUACUGGGUGUAAAGGGCGUGCAGCCGGGCUGAUAAGUCAGAUGUGAAAUCUGGAGGCUCAACCUCCAAACUGCAUUUGAAACUGUCGGUCUUGAGUAUCGGAGA
rnacentral:rRNA from 1 species